UGCAAGUCGAGCGGUAGCACAGAGAGCUUGCUCUCGGGUGACGAGCGGCGGACGGGUGAGUAAUGUCUGGGAAACUGCCUGAUGGAGGGGGAUAACUACUGGAAACGGUAGCUAAUACCGCAUAACGUCGCAAGACCAAAGAGGGGGACCUUCGGGCCUCUUGCCAUCAGAUGUGCCCAGAUGGGAUUAGCUAGUAGGUGGGGUAACGGCUCACCUAGGCGACGAUCCCUAGCUGGUCUGAGAGGAUGACCAGCCACACUGGAACUGAGACACGGUCCAGACUCCUACGGGAGGCAGCAGUGGGGAAUAUUGCACAAUGGGCGCAAGCCUGAUGCAGCCAUGCCGCGUGUAUGAAGAAGGCCUUCGGGUUGUAAAGUACUUUCAGCGAGGAGGAAGGCAUUAAGGUUAAUAACCUUGGUGAUUGACGUUACUCGCAGAAGAAGCACCGGCUAACUCCGUGCCAGCAGCCGCGGUAAUACGGAGGGUGCAAGCGUUAAUCGGAAUUACUGGGCGUAAAGCGCACGCAGGCGGUCUGUCAAGUCGGAUGUGAAAUCCCCGGGCUCAACCUGGGAACUGCAUUCGAAACUGGCAGGCUAGAGUCUUGUAGAGGGGGGGUAGAAUUCCAGGUGUAGCGGUGAAAUGCGUAGAGAUCUGGAGGAAUACCGGUGGCGAAGGCGGCCCCCUGGACAAAGACUGACGCUCAGGUGCGAAAGCGUGGGGAGCAAACAGGAUUAGAUACCCUGGUAGUCCACGCCGUAAACGAUGUCGACUUGGAGGUUGUUCCCUUGAGGAGUGGCUUCCGGAGCUAACGCGUUAAGUCGACCGCCUNGGGGAGUACGGCCGCAAGGUUAAAACUCAAAUGAAUUGACGGGGGCCCGCACAAGCGGUGGAGCAUGUGGUUUAAUUCGAUGCAACGCGAAGAACCUUACCUACUCUUGACAUCCACGGAAUUUAGCAGAGAUGCUUUAGUGCCUUCGGGAACUGUGAGACAGGUGCUGCAUGGCUGUCGUCAGCUCGUGUUGUGAAAUGUUGGGUUAAGUCCCGCAACGAGCGCAACCCUUAUCCUUUGUUGCCAGCGGUUCGGCCGGGAACUCAAAGGAGACUGCCAGUGAUAAACUGGAGGAAGGUGGGGAUGACGUCAAGUCAUCAUGGCCCUUACGAGUAGGGCUACACACGUGCUACAAUGGCGCAUACAAAGAGAAGCGACCUCGCGAGAGCAAGCGGACCUCAUAAAGUGCGUCGUAGUCCGGAUUGGAGUCUGCAACUCGACUCCAUGAAGUCGGAAUCGCUAGUAAUCGUAGAUCAGAAUGCUACGGUGAAUACGUUCCCGGGCCUUGUACACACCGCCCGUCACACCAUGGGAGUGGGUUGCAAAAGAAGUAGGUAGCUUAACCUUCGGGAGGGCG
rnacentral:rRNA from 1 species